GAGAGCAGUUUUAGAAUCUCGAUGUUUGCACGAAGGGCAGACCCAAGAACGAUGGAAUUCCUGGCUUUCCCAGGAUGACAAGCUGUUAUUGCCCGCCCUGUAACUAAGGGCAUCCUCCCCUUCCCCUGAAAAACCCCGAAGCGCUGCGCAAUGGAAAACUUUUUAAAAAUAAUUCCGCUUUUAAUGUGCGCUAAAGUCCGUACCGUGGAACCCACUGAGACGCUGUGUGCCCUCUGCUUUUGACACGGGUCUCACUGUGUUUGCCUGAUUAAAUCCCAGGUUCCUGGGCUCAAGGGAUGUGGCCCCGUGUUCUCCCCGAGCACUGAGAUCCCGGAGAGGCGCAGCGGUACCCAGACCGGGCUCGCGAUGAAAAGGACGCCAGCAGAGUCCGUGAGUGGAGCACCUGCAUUGGCCAAGUGCAAAACUCGGGACGGGUUUGGGACGUUGAUGUGGGGUAGCUCUGUCCUCCCUGUCGAAGCAUCGUCUCCUUCAGGAAGGGAGGAGGGAGGCUCAGGACGCAGGAAGCGAGGGAGAGUUGCAAGGCCCGGGAGGCUGAGAGAGAGAAGGCUGCAGAAGAGAGGACCCCGGUGGAGUUGUCUGCAAGUGGGGCCGGGAGCAGGGAUCCAUCUUUCAUGAGAGGUCAGCCAUGCUGAGGUCGGCUUUUCAGAGGCUGCAGCGACAUCUGAGUCACUCAAGGUCUCCUCGGUGACUUCUCACUCAUGCUCCUGAAAUCAAGCCAGAAAUUGUUUCCAUUAAAUGAUCUGCUCGGUGGAAAGCCGACAAUAGAUUCACGAUUACAUUGGUUCGCUCUCACCUCAGCCUGCCACUGAGGGUCCCUUCCUGGAGGACGCCAGGUGAAGAGGCUCACGGAUGCUGUUAUCGAUUGCUUUUCCUGUCCCGGCUUUUCACCGAGGAAAAUCAGCCACUGUAUCCAUCGUUCAGAUCUACUUGUGACCGUCUGAUCUUGGUUUACAUCCAUCUGAGC